rnacentral:rRNA from 1 species
UCUCGGCAAAUUAUCCUCAUAAGUUAGACGAUAAGAGGUACCAUUUAUGAAUUUAAUUAUUCAGCCCUUUUUCUCUUCUAUGAAGAUUAAAGAUUAAUAAUAAUUGAUAGAUAGAUGGUGGCACAGAAUCGGAGGCCCCGACUGUUUACUAAAAACACAACACAGUGCAAUCAUUAAUGUGGUAGUAUACUGUGUGAAAUUUGCCCAAUGCCAUUAAUAUAAAAGCGGUCAUAGGAAACUGUGACUAAUUGAAAAUCUGGUUAAUAGCGGUCUUAACCAUGAGGAUCCUAAGGUAGCAAAAUAAAUUGGCCAUUAAAUGUGGUCCGGUAUCAAUAAUGUAACGAUGGCCUCACUGUCUCUACAACUUGCUCAGUGAAAUUGAAUUACGCGUGCAGAUGCGCGUUACCUCCAGUGGGACGGGAAGACCCUAUGCAGCUUCUACUGA